AGCGUCCAUUAUCAACAGACGUUCCACAUGAGGGAAGCAAAGGCUCUUUUAGUGUCAGGUUUCAUGGCUGACUCUUCUCAAGUCUGGCCUAGCAUUUAUGAAUAGGCCAAAGGAAUGGCGUUCAGAAACCUUUGCUAAUGUCCACAAGGGCGGUUACAGUUUUCCUCAGCAAUACCCAGCAUACUCGAGAUGACGAGCUUCAACUGUCAACUUGGCACAACCUAGGAUUGCCCAGGAAGAGUCUCCAUGAGGGAAUGUCUGCAUGGGGUUGGCCUGUGAAUACGUCUGUAGGGGCUUGUCUUAAUGAAGUUAAUUGCUGUCAGAAGACCAAGCUACUGAAACCUCUAUCCAACACAUGACUGCAUGCAUCGUUGAACCCUUCUUUCUUCUUGGACACCUCUGCCAACUUCAUCACUGCCCUUGUCCCAGAGCCUCCAGCUCCAUCCCCAUCACAAUCUUAGUCUCUUUGUGCCUUGACCAACUCAACUCUACGUAUCCGUCAGCAUCCAGGACCAUCCCCCCCAUAGGUUUGGACUUGCUUGUCUCCUGAGUUCCUGGAGAACCAAUAUCUAUCUGUCUGUCUAUCCAUCUACCCUUCAAUCAUCUGUCUGAUACAGAGGUUCUCAACCCUCCAAUGCUGCGACCCUUUAACACAGUUCCUCAUGUUGUGCUGUCCCCAACCAUAAAAUUGUUUCAUUGCCUACUUCAUAA